AAUCACAGUGAUGGCUAACCAGGGCAUCCUGACCUAUACAGGCCUCUGCUAUGGGGGUGAUGGCCUGUCCUGGUGUCUGAGUGAUU
ensembl:snoRNA SNORD86 small nucleolar RNA SNORD86